rnacentral:rRNA from 1 species
GAGUUUGAUCGUGGCUCAGGACGAACGCUGGCGGCGUGCUUAACACAUGCAAGUCGAACGAGAAUCUGUGGAUCGAGGAUUCGUCCAAGUGAAGCAGAGGACAGUGGCGGACGGGUGAGUAACGCGUGAGGAACCUGCCUUUCAGAGGGGGACAACAGUUGGAAACGACUGCUAAUACCGCAUGAUACAUUUGGGUGGCAUCAUCUGAAUGUCAAAGAUUUAUCGCUGAAAGAUGGCCUCGCGUCUGAUUAGCUGGUUGGUGAGGUAACGGCCCCACCAAGGCGACGAUCAGUAGCCGGACUGAGAGGUUGACCGGCCACAUUGGGACUGAGAUACGGCCCAGACUCCUA